CCUACGGGAGGCAGCAGUGGGGAAUAUUGGACAAUGGGGGCAACCCUGAUCCAGCCAUGCCGCGUGUGUGAAGAAGGCCCUCGGGUUGUAAAGCACUUUCAGUGAGGAAGAACGCCUGGUGGUUAAUACCCAUCAGGAAAGACAUCACUCACAGAAGAAGCACCGGCUAACUCCGUGCCAGCAGCCGCGGUAAUACGGAGGGUGCGAGCGUUAAUCGGAAUUACUGGGCGUAAAGCGCGCGUAGGUGGCUUGAUAAGCCGGUUGUGAAAGCCCCGGGCUCAACCUGGGAACAGCAUCCGGAACUGUCAAGCUAGAGUGCAGGAGAGGAAGGUAGAAUUCCCGGUGUAGCGGUGAAAUGCGUAGAGAUCGGGAGGAAUACCAGUGGCGAAGGCGGCCUUCUGGACUGACACUGACACUGAGGUGCGAAAGCGUGGGUAGCAAACAGGAUUAGAUACCCCAGUAGUC
rnacentral:rRNA from 1 species